rfam:Brachypodium distachyon strain Bd21 chromosome 4, whole genome shotgun sequence.
UGACUACUUCAUCCGUCCAACAAAGAAUGGCUUAACUUUGACUAAAUUUGAAUGCAUCUAUAUAUUGAUUCAUGUCUAGAUACAUCCAAAUUUUGACAAACUUGAGACAUCUUUUGUUGGAUGGAGGGAGUAGUUA